rnacentral:rRNA from 1 species
AGAGUUUGAUCCUGGCUCAGGACGAACGCUGGCGGCGUGCCUAAUACAUGCAAGUCGAGCGGACAGAUGGGAGCUUGCUCCCUGAUGUUAGCGGCGGACGGGUGAGUAACACGUGGGUAACCUGCCUGUAAGACUGGGAUAACUCCGGGAAACCGGGGCUAAUACCGGAUGGUUGUUUGAACCGCAUGGUUCAAACAUAAAAGGUGGCUUCGGCUACCACUUACAGAUGGACCCGCGGCGCAUUAGCUAGUUGGUGAGGUAACGGCUCACCAAGGCGACGAUGCGUAGCCGACCUGAGAGGGUGAUCGGCCACACUGGGACUGAGACACGGCCCAGACCCCUACGGGAGGCAGCAGUAGGGAAUCUUCCGCAAUGGACGAAAGUCUGACGGAGCAACGCCGCGUGAGUGACGAAGGUUUUCGGAUCGUAAAGCUCUGUUGUUAGGGAAGAACAAGUGCCGUUCGAAUAGGGCGGUACCUUGACGGUACCUAACCAGAAAGCCACGGCUAACUACGUGCCAGCAGCCGCGGUAAUACGUAGGUGGCAAGCGUUGUCCGGAAUUAUUGGGCGUAAAGGGCUCGCAGGCGGUUUCUUAAGUCUGAUGUGAAAGCCCCCGGCUCAACCGGGGAGGGUCAUUGGAAACUGGGGAACUUGAGUGCAGAAGAGGAGAGUGGAAUUCCACGUGUAGCGGUGAAAUGCGUAGAGAUGUGGAGGAACACCAGUGGCGAAGGCGACUCUCUGGUCUGUAACUGACGCUGAGGAGCGAAAGCGUGGGGAGCGAACAGGAUUAGAUACCCUGGUAGUCCACGCCGUAAACGACGAGUGCUAAGUGUUAGGGGGUUUCCGCCCCUUAGUACUGCAGCUAACGCAUUAAGCACUCCGCCUGGGGAGUACGGUCGCAAGACUGAAACUCAAAGGAAUUGACGGGGGCCCGCACAAGCGGUGGAGCAUGUGGUUUAAUUCGAAGCAACGCGAAGAACCUUACCAGGUCUUGACAUCCUCUGACAAUCCUAGAGAUAGGACGUCCCCUUCGGGGGCAGAGUGACAGGUGGUGCAUGGUUGUCGUCAGCUCGUGUCGUGAGAUGUUGGGUUAAGUCCCGCAACGAGCGCAACCCUUGAUCUUAGUUGCCAGCAUUCAGUUGGGCACUCUAAGGUGACUGCCGGUGACAAACCGGAGGAAGGUGGGGAUGACGUCAAAUCAUCAUGCCCCUUAUGACCUGGGCUACACACGUGCUACAAUGGACAGAACAAAGGGCAGCGAAACCGCGAGGUUAAGCCAAUCCCACAAAUCUGUUCUCAGUUCGGAUCGCAGUCUGCAACUCGACUGCGUGAAGCUGGAAUCGCUAGUAAUCGCGGAUCAGCAUGCCGCGGUGAAUACGUUCCCGGGCCUUGUACACACCGCCCGUCACACCACGAGAGUUUGUAACACCCGAAGUCGGUGAGGUAACCUUUUAGGAGCCAGCCGCCGAAGGUGGGACAGAUGAUUGGGGUGAAGUCGUAACAAGGUAGCCGUAUCGGAAGGUGCGGCUG